UCUUCCCAGUCUGUUAGUCAAGGGGUAUGUUUCAGUUCAUAAGACCACCUUCUCCAAACCCCAUAACUUUUUCUCACAUUACCUCUUCAUCUUCAAACUAACAAUAGUGUGUCAAUAGUUCUCUUACUCCUUGUGUCUCUGACCUCCAUUUCUGCCUGCCUUUUCUGCUACCAGGCUGAGAAAAUACCUCCUUUUUAAAGCUCAUCUUGGACUUUAUUUUGUAAAACACUGAAUUCUUUCUUGUUAUCAACCAUCAACCACGUCAUAGCAAGACAGGCAUGCCAAAACCUCUGACAAUAUCAACAUCGACUCCCUGAGGAAAUGCUAACAGAAGUGAGGUGGGACUAAAAAAAGUCAUUCAGACUCUGCUAACUCUUGGAGACAUCGUCUAGCAACCUCAGGUUUGACUGGAGUGAUACUUGAGAUGAUUGCCUUUGAAAACCUGAGAAAGUUGGAGAUGUAAAGGACUGAAAUAUGAUAGCUUUUUAAAAAUUGAUAACCUUUGUAUGCCUAGAAGAAGCAAGCUGCCACAAAUACCUCAACUGACAAGAAUAGAAUGCUGCAAAUUAUCACAUGAGUGGGGAAGUGGAUAUUUCCCCAGAUGAGAAUCUAGCACUGAUGACUCUUUGCAGCCUUGUGAAACCCUACACAGAAAACCCUGCUAAAUCAUGCCUGUGCUCUUGAUCUAAAGGAAA